ensembl:snRNA Gm24946 predicted gene, 24946
AUGCUCACUUUGGUAGAAUAUCUACUAAAAUUAGAAAAACACAUUGAAGACUAGCAAGAAUGCUGUUCAAGGAUGAUGCAUACUUUCAGAAACAGAUCAUGAAAUU